rnacentral:rRNA from 1 species
UACACUCCUACGGGAGGCAGCAGUGGGGAAUAUUGGACAAUGGGCGCAAGCCUGAUCCAGCCAUGCCGCGUGAGUGAUGAAGGCCCUAGGGUUGUAAAGCUCUUUCACCGGUGAAGAUAAUGACGGUAACCGGAGAAGAAGCCCCGGCUAACUUCGUGCCAGCAGCCGCGGUAAUACGAAGGGGGCUAGCGUUGUUCGGAUUUACUGGGCGUAAAGCGCACGUAGGCGGACUAUUAAGUCAGGGGUGAAAUCCCGGGGCUCAACCCCGGAACUGCCUUUGAUACUGGUAGUCUUGAGUUCGAGAGAGGUGAGUGGAAUUCCGAGUGUAGAGGUGAAAUUCGUAGAUAUUCGGAGGAACACCAGUGGCGAAGGCGGCUCACUGGCUCGAUACUGACGCUGAGGUGCGAAAGCGUGGGGAGCAAACAGGAUUAGAAACCCCGGUAGUCCC